rnacentral:rRNA from 1 species
GACGAACGCUGGCGGCGUGCCUAAUACAUGCAAGUAGAACGCUGAAGGAGGAGCUUGCUUCUCUGGAUGAGUUGCGAACGGGUGAGUACGCGUAGGUAACCUGCCUGGUAGCGGGGGAUAACUAUUGGAAACGAUAGCUAAUACCGCAUAACAGUAGAUAUCGCAUGAUAUCUACUUGAAAGGUGCAAUUGCAUCACUACCAGAUGGACCUGCGUUGUAUUAGCUAGUUGGUGAGGUAACGGCUCACCAAGGCGACGAUACAUAGCCGACCUGAGAGGGUGAUCGGCCACACUGGGACUGAGACACGGCCCAGACUCCUACGGGAGGCAGCAGUAGGGAAUCUUCGGCAAUGGACGGAAGUCUGACCGAGCAACGCCGCGUGAGUGAAGAAGGUUUUCGGAUCGUAAAGCUCUGUUGUAAGAGAAGAACGAGUGUGAGAGUGGAAAGUUCACACUGUGACGGUAUCUUACCAGAAAGGGACGGCUAACUACGUG